rnacentral:rRNA from 1 species
UACGAACUGUGCAACCGUUAUUCGGAAUCACUGGGCGUAAAGCGCACGUAGGCGGACUCUUAAGUCGGUGGUGAAAUCCUGGAGCUCAACUCCAGAACUGCCUUCGAUACUGAAGAUCUUGAGUUCGGGAGAGGUGAGUGGAACUGCGAGUGUAGAGGUGAAAUUCGUAGAUAUUCGCAAGAACACCAGUGGCGAAGGCGGCCCACUGGCCCGAUACUGACGCUGAGGCACGAAAGCGUGGGGAGCAAACAGG